rnacentral:rRNA from 1 species
UAGGGAAUCUUCGGCAAUGGGGGGAACCCUGACCGAGCAACGCCGCGUGAGUGAAGAAGGUUUUCGGAUCGUAAAGCUCUGUUGUUAAGGAAGAACGAGUGUGAGAAUGGAAAGUUCAUGCUGUGACGGUACUUAACCAGAAAGGGACGGCUAACUACGUGCCAGCAGCCGCGGUAAUACGUAGGUCCCGAGCGUUGUCCGGAUUUAUUGGGCGUAAAGGGUACGUAGGUGGUUUUUUAAGUCAGGUGUCAAAGCGUGGAGCUUAACUCCAUUAAGCACUUGAAACUGAAAGACUUGAGUGAAGGAGAGGAAAGUGGAAUUCCUAGUGUAGCGGUGAAAUGCGUAGAUAUUAGGAGGAAUACCGGUGGCGAAGGCGACUUUCUGGACUUUUACUGACGCUUAGGUACGAAAGCGUGGGGAGCAAACAGG